CAAGUAUUUGCUCGAAACACAAAAAGAUUUCUCUCUCAACUUUUCAUAGGAUUUGGGUUUAGCAUCAGAGAAUCAAACUUUCGAACACUACUCCCCUCUUAAUAGUACGAUGGCCCUAUGGCUCAAUAAAGAGAAGAAGAAUGAAACAAAUGCUACGUCUUCACUGCGUUUUCAUUCUCCUCGGAUGCAAUCAAAUUCCUCGAACAGACACCAAACCAAUUGCUUGAACUUCAGAAAUUUUAGGGGUCACUCUUGUCAAUAUCAUCUCCGUGAUAACCUUCGCUGCAACGCAGGGAGAUUAUCUUCGUCGUUUGCAUCAAACUCCUCGUGAUCUUAGGGAACUUUAACUCUGUGUGCACUAGCAAACACAUAAUUCCCAUACUGUUUAUGUCAGCAAACUGCAAAGGGGCCUAUCAUUACACCAACAGUUAAAGAAAUUCGACUUCUCAAAAAACUAAUACCCCUUAUAAUUUGGAAUUGAUGGAAUAUUUUGUUUGCUGGAUGGGGAGAUGAUGGAGUGUGUUUAAUUUCUAUUUGUAUUGUGAUGAUUUGGUGGCCUUCCGGGGUUGAUUCUAUGCUAUCCACUAACUAACCUAUAUUUAUGUGGGGAAAUUUCUGUGUCGUUGGCUGCAUGUACUAUAUUGGUACCACAAUAUCACAUUGUUCUUCCUAGAUGGUGGGAGGGUGCGUGGGAUUGAUAUAUUUUUAUAGGCUUGUUGCUACUAAUUGAUUUGAAAAAUCAUUGUCCCAGUCAAAAUUGUAAACCAAAUCCAAAAUCGAAUAUCUCAAUUGAAUGAAAGAGUUUCAAAAUUAGGGAACAUAGUGAAUUAAAAAAAAAUUGAAUGGGGGAGUUUGAGAAAUUGUUGCCAAAAUCGGGUGACCCAAUUCUAAAUUGAAAACCUCAAUUAAUUGUGAGGUCUUAGAAUUAGAAAGCACAUUGUAUAGUAUAAAAGAAUUGAAUGGGGAAACUUUGAGAAAUUGUUGACCCGUCAAAAUCAGAUGACACAAUUCUAUUUGAAGACCUCAAUUGAAUAUGGGAUCUUUAAAAAUAGGGAGUGUAGUGUUAUAGAGGAUGUCGGGCGAGUGUUCAUGACCUAUGUGUUUCUUUCAAAAAAAAUUGAAAAUAUGCUUUUCAAUUAAUGCAAUGUGGUGUGUGCAUGUAUAUACGUGUGUGCGUGUGUGUGAUAUAUUGAUUUUUGCUAUAUAUGUUAUAUAGAUGAGUGAGCGAGAUUUGUUGAUCUCUUCCAUGAAAAAAUAACGGGUCUGCCAGCGGGUGAAGGCCAAAGAGUGGCGGAGCGGCUGACGAAGGCGAUGUCCUCUUAUUUUUCAGUCAACCGCACAUCCUAGUCUCCUAUGUAUAGUAGCACAUCAAUAGAUCAAAGUGUUCAAUCUCUUCUUUGUAAUCAAACUAUACGAAUCAAUCCAUCAACAUGGAGAAAAUUCCUAAGAACAUUUACAACCGGAGCCCUCAAAUCCGCUUCAAAUGCCCGGGCAAGCUGUCCGGUCACUGUCCCGACGCAAAAUUGCCACUCAAGUAGCCCUCACAGAUCCGACCUAAACGCCUGGAGUAACCGUCACUCCCCAUACCUGGCCCAUAUUUGGGGCAGAUGUGGGGAUGCCCGGACACGCCCACCACCUCAUCUCCCACAAGCCAGGCCUAUCCCAAAUCCUCUCAAAAAAGACUAGCACUCCACUUCGACCCAACUCCUCCCGCCUCCAUCCUCCAUUUCCCGCCUUCACACAGCCACCCAACUCCUCCCUUGCUCCCUGUCCCUCUCUGUCAUCGUUGAUGUCAUCGCCGACAACCCUGUCCACCACCAUGGUCACGGAUGAUGCCUUUGGGGAAUUGGUCGGGCUCCUCUGCCUGCAACUGAUCCUUGCAAGGCGGAGAACCUUGCCCGGAAGGACCGCCGCCAGAGGCAAUGUGAGUAGGAGGCAGCGGCGAAGGCAGCUACGGAGGUGGUCGGUGUUGAGAUAGCGUUCGUGCCUGGUGGUGAGGGCAUGGACUUUGGUGCGACACAGACCAAUCCAAAGGUCGUGGCCGCGGGGACAAACAACUUGUCAACGGAGUCUGAUUCCGUCCCGCCCUCCUAGUGGAUGAGCAUCCUGAUUUUGAGCGUUUUGCAAGCCGUUCCCGUUGGGUCGACGAUGGCCAACUUGCCGCAACUCCAAAGGAAUUGGGCGAUGUCUGGCAAUGCCGGCUCCGGGCAUGCCCACAUGUUGUUCGACGAAACGCCCGACCAAGACCCGAUACAUUAUUUUUCCCCCUUUCACACUUGCAUUCAUAGAUUCUUUUGUUGCACAUACCAUAUGAUCAAACUUGUAGGAUGAUAGUUAAAUUGCAAUGCAUAUUGUUGGAACAAAUAUUGCAAGACAUGAUAAAUGAUAGUCAAGAAUCUUUUGCAAUUUACCAUGAUAAGUGAUAGGGAACAAGUGGGAGGAGAGGGUGGCACAUGAAUGCGCAGCAAACAAAAUGUCCGCCAUUUGGACGGGCAUUUUUCUGCCAAGGAGGUGAAGGAGUAAAUGUACAAGAUAUUCAUCGAUGUGCAAAGGGAGAAAAUGGAGUUCGACUGGUAGAGGUUGACCUUGGAGAAGGAAAAAAAAUAGAAUUGGAGAGGCAAGAGAAGGUUGCAAAAUGGGAGUUUGAACAAACAAUGACAAAGCAAGGACUUGAGUUCAAGAGAGAGAAGUUGAGGCUUGCGAGGGAGGUGGAGGAGUCGAGGAUCAUAUUGCGGGACAUCAACCUCUUGGAUGAUGAAAGGAAGAAACGGUUGGUCCGCAUGAAGAAGAGGAUCAAUAUCACCAUAAUUGAGGCCAUUGAUUCAUUCGUGUAUUGCCUAUCUAUGUAUUGAGCUGUUGAACUUUAUUUUGGCAUGUAAUGAAUUACCGUUUACUUCUUAUUGUUGAAUUUGUGAUGAAUUUGCGCUAUAUGAUGAACAUGCAUGGAUUUGGGUAUUGGGAUAUGAGGAGUGUGGUUGUGAAGGAGGACAAAUGAAGACCCGCCAGCGCUGCCCGUGGGUGCGUCCGCGGUGACGUAUACGGGCUUGGAUGUGCCAACUCUGGUUGUAGAUGCUCUAAGAAUUCUAAUCCUUUCAAAAUCAUAUGAAAAUCAUUUGAAUCAAAAAAAACCUCAAAGGUAAAUCAGGGAUUUACGUUUGCCAAAAAUAAAAGAGAAAAAGCAUCACAAGGCUGUGGUGGACGCCGGGCGUACCUAAGAAAAGAUCGAGGGAAUAGUGCAGGGUAGUAUUGAUGACCAGGACACGGCCGGCCGGGAAACCUUGGCGCUGGCCGGUGGCCAGUGUUGUGCUGUGCUGGGGAC
rnacentral:lncRNA from 1 species